rnacentral:rRNA from 1 species
UGGGGAAUAUUGGACAAUGGGCGCAAGCCUGAUCCAGCCAUGCCGCGUGAGUGAUGAAGGCCCUAGGGUUGUAAAGCUCUUUCACCGGUGAAGAUAAUGACGGUAACCGGAGAAGAAGCCCCGGCUAACUUCGUGCCAGCAGCCGCGGUAAUACGAAGGGGGCUAGCGUUGUUCGGAUUUACUGGGCGUAAAGUGCACGUAGGCGGACUUUUAAGUCAGGGGUGAAAUCCCGGGGCUCAACCCCGGAACUGCCUUUGAUACUGGAAGUCUUGAGUAUGGUAGAGGUGAGUGGAAUUCCGAGUGUAGAGGUGAAAUUCGUAGAUAUUCGGAGGAACACCAGUGGCGAAGGCGGCUCACUGGACCAUUACUGACGCUGAGGUGCGAAAGCGUGGGGAGCAAACAGG